UACGCAGGCGGCCUCGUAAGACAGGUGUGAAAUCCCCGGGCUCAACCUGGGAACUGCAUUUGUGACUGCGGGGCUAGAGUUUGUCAGAGGGGGGUGGAAUUCCACGUGUAGCAGUGAAAUGCGUAGAGAUGUGGAGGAACACCGAUGGCGAAGGCAGCCCCUGGGAUGAGACUGACGCUCAUGUACGAAAGCGUGGGGAGCAAACA
rnacentral:rRNA from 1 species